AGCUCCAAAAGCGUAUAUUAAAGUUGUUGCGGUUAAAAAGCUCGUAGUUGGAUCUCAGGGAGGUGCACGCGGUUGGCCCGCGUGGUCUUACUUGCGUGCGCUUCUCACCGACCGCUGGUCGCGGGUGCUCUUUAUUGAGUGUUCGUCGACUGCGGCCACGUUUACUUUGAAAAAAUUAGAGUGUUCAAAGCAGGCGUCUUUUCGCCCGCAUACCCCAGCAUGGAAUAAUGGAAUAGGAGGCUGAUUCUAUUUCGUUGGUUUUCGGAAUCUAGCCUAAUGGUUAAGAGGGACAGCCGGGGGCAUUCGUAUUGUGGCGUUAGAGGUGAAAUUCUUAGAUCGCCGCAAGACGAACAAGUGCGAAAGCAUUUGCCAAGAAUGUUUUCAUUAAUCAAGAACGAAA
rnacentral:rRNA from 1 species